CCGUCGUUCUAAGCAGGAAGU
rnacentral:snRNA from 1 species